ensembl:lncRNA
UACUGCUGCUCAUUCCGUUCACCAGGUCUACGUCACCGGCCUUCUUUUAUUUAUUUUUUAUUUAACCUUUAUUUAACUAGGCAAGUCAGUUAAGAACAAAUUCUUAUUUUCAAUGACGGCCUAGGAACAGUGGGUUAACUGCCUGUUCAGGGGCAGAACGACAGACUUGUACCUUGUCAGCUCAGGGAUUUGAACUUGCAAGCUUCCAGUUACUAAUCCAACGCUCUAACCACUAGGCUACCCUGCCGCCUUCUAGGUGUCACUGAACUUGAUUCAUUACCACCAACCCCGGACUGUCUUGUCUCAUUACGCACACCUGGUUCCCAUUCCCCCUGAUUAGUAUGUGUAUAAAUGUGCCCUGUGUUCCCCACUGUCCUUGUCGGUUAUUGUCCCAUGUCCGUUGGUCUUGUAAGUACCUGUGCUAUGUUGUAUCGGCUUCCAUGUUAUGUGUUAUUGUGCACUUGUUUUAUGGGUUUCGUCCUGUGUAUUAUUCAGAGGUUUACACCUUACUCUUUAGUUAGGAUAGAGAAAUAAAAGACCCUAUUACGUAUUCCUGCGCUUGUCUCCUAUCAUUAUACAGUGUGACAGAAUAGCCAACCUAUCUAAAUGGAGACAGCAGGAAAGACCGAGCUGACGACCAUCGUAGAGACAGUUCAGCAUCACAAGGAAUGUCUCUCCAGACUCGGCAGCGCCACGGACAGCGUGCUGGCAACCAUCCUGCGUUUGGAGGGGAUUGUGCAGUCCCUCCAGUCUCCAGCACCGGAUCCUGCACCAGCCCUCACAACACCACUACCUGCCUCCGUCCCAUCUGAGCCGGUCCGCGGAAUAGCCCUGUCCCUCUCGGAGCACUUUGACGGUGCUCCAGCGAGAUGCAAGGGAUUCCUUCUGCAAUGAGACCUGGCUGUCUCCGGGAGAGAUAGGGUUGCCACCAUCUUGGCACUGACCGUACGGGCCCUGGACUGGGGUGCCACAGUCUGGGAAACAGGCGGAACCGAGGUCAAGUCCUGCGAGCGCUUCACCCUCCUCUUCCGCUCGGUGUUUGAUCAUCCUGUGGAUGGCCAAGAAGGGGAUGACUGCCUACUCCGACUACGCCAGGGAUCUAGGACCGCCUCGGAGUUCCGGAACAUCGCGGCCUCCACCGGAGGGAACGAGUCGCCUCUAGUCACUGUGUUCCGCAGUGGACAGCGGAAGGAGGUACAGAUGGCGUUGUACUGCCGUGAUGACAACCUGUCACUCGACCAACUCAUCCGCAUGGCGAUCCAUUUGGACAACCUCCAGCGGUCCCGUCGAAGACCUGCAUAGAAUCGGGAGCCCAUGGCUACACCUGCUCCGUUCCCAGAGCCGAUGGAGGUGGGCUCUGCACGUUUGCCCGAGGCAGAGCGUAGGAGAAGGAGGAAUCUGGGCCUCUGCUCCUAUUGUGGAGAAAGGGGUCAUUUCUCCCCGACUUACCCUCUAUCCACCAAUAGGCGAGGAGGUGACAAGCCAGGGAAUUCCCCUGCUCCGACCAAGGUAGGAUGCAAUAUCUCCCCUCCUUUUUUGUCAACUCAACCAGUGUGUUUUCCCAUUAUAUUCCCUGAAUACCCUAGCCCCUCACUCCCGUUAGUUCUGAUUGAUUGGGAAUCUGCUGAGAAUCUUUUAGAUAGAGCACUGGCCGCCGAAUUACGCAUUCCUUUGGUUUCCCCGACAAUCACCCAUUCCGGUUCGAGCCCUGGAUAAUUGUCCAACAUCACAUCAUUGUUCCCGUUUCUCUGCUGACAAAUGACACUCAUUUAGAACAGAUCACCUUUUCGAUUAUAGAAACCCCCACCCACCCUGUUGUUUUAGGGUUCCCCUGGUUGAGUUGGCAUAACCCUGUUAUUUCCUGGUCUGAGAGGAGACUGCUGGGUUGGUCGCAGGAGUGUCAAGGGAGGUGUCUCGCUGUGUCUGUCAACACCACUACGGUGGAAAGUCCGGACCACGCCCCUCGAGUGGAGUUACCGGAGGAAUACCAGGAUCUGCACAUGCCUUCCUCCUCAUUGCCCCUGGGACUGUCCCAUUGACCUGCUCUCUGACGCAGCCCUCCCGAGAGGACACAUCUAUCCCCUCUCCUAUGCGGAGACCGAGGCCAUGGAGACCUACAUACAGGAGUGCCUCCAGCAGGAUUUUAUCCGCCCCUCCACCUCACCAGCCUCCUCAAGCUUAUUUUUUUGUUAAAAAGAAAGAUGGGAAAUUGCACCCCUGCAUUGAUUAUCGAAUACUGAAUAAAGCCACCGUUAAGUUAAGCUAUUCUUUACCCCUUAUCCCAACCAUCAUUGAACAAAUGCACAGGGCGCAGUACUUCACGAAACUGGACUUGAGGAGCGCCUACAAUCUGGUGUGCGUUUGUGCGGGCGACGAAUGGAAAACGUCCUUUUCCACCACGGGCCAUUACGAGCAUCUCAAAAUGCCUUUUGGUCUGUCUAAUACUCGUUCAGUUUUACAGGCCUUUAUUAACGAAGUGUUUCAGGACAUGCUCUGACGGGGCGCAAGGUUUAUAUAAACAUUUUGGUCUAUUCUGCUGACCGCACCCAGCAUGUCUCGUUAGUCAAGUCUGUGCUGGGAAGACUGUUGGAGCAUGGUCUACAGCUGAAGUCGGAAGUUUACAUACACCUAGGUUGGAGUCAUUAAAACUAGUUUUUCAACCACUCCACAAAUUUCUUGUCAACAAACUAUAGUUUUGGCAAGUCGUUUCGGACAUCUACAAUUGUUUACAGGUAGAUUAUUUCACUUAUAAUUCAUUCUAUCAGAAUUCCAAUUGGUCAGAAGUUUACAUACACUAAGUUGACUGUGCUUUUAAAGAACUCAAAAUAAAAAAACUGUUGACGAGAGAAUCCAGCAAAUAAUGCCUUUUAAUCAAAACAAUAAUGCAUGCAGAACACACAUGAAUAAAGUGGCAUGACCACUUUACUUUGAACUUUGAAAUCUCACGUUCUCUGGCGUACACAUAGAUCCACAAUAAUUGUUGGAAUCGGAAUGGAAUGCUGCAGAUAACUUGAUUGAAUGUUUAAAGUCUUAAGAAAACAGAGGUGGUGUUUAAACACACUAAUGCACCGUUUUGUAACAGCCUGUACGACGUACAUCCGUAUCUGACUAUUCAGACUCAUCUUCAGAGUCACAGUUCUGGCACACAUGAAUUGCCUGGCCUGCGGUGCAAGCAUCAUGGGCCCAUUUGAAACAUCUCACACACUUCACCCAAGUCUCAUUUGGAAGGCUGUUUGAAAAUGGCUCCACACAGACGAGGCAGAAGCACUCCUCUUCAUCUGAUGACUCUUCUACAAUUUUGCUUUUUUUUUAGCUACCUUGUUCUUUGCAGAUCCAGAUUUUGACUCAAUCCCUUACUUCCCUUUCUUUGUGGGCUAUACUCGGCCUUGUCUCAGGAUGGUAAGUUGGUGGUUGAAGAUCCCUCUAGUGGUGUGGGGACUGUGCUUUGGCAAAGUGAGUGGGGUUAUAUCCUGCCUGUUUGGCCCUGUCUGGGGGUAUCAUCGGAUGGAGCCACAGUGUCUCCCGACCCCUCCAGUCUCAGCCUCCAGUAUUUAUGCUGCAGUAGUUUAUGUGUCGGGGGGCUAGGGUCAGUCUGUUAUAUCUGGAGUAUUUCUCCUGUUUUAUCCGGUGUCCUGUAUGAAUUUAAGUAUGCUCUCUAUAAUUCUCUCUCUCGGUGUACCUAAGCCCUAGGACCAUGCCUCAGGACUACCUGGCCUGAUGACUCCUUGCCGUUCCCAGUCCACCUGGCCAUGCUGUUGGUCCAGUUUCAACUGUUCUGCCUGCAGCUAUGGAAUCCUGACCUGUUCACCGGACGUGCUACCUGUCCCAGACCUGCUGUUUUCAACUCUCUAGAGACAGCAUGAGCAGUAGAGAUACUCUGAAUGAUCGGCUAUGAAAAGCCAACUGACAUUUACUCCUGGAGUUGGUAGUCCGCUGUCAGCAAUGGCAUUGUUGGGCAAGGGGGAGCUGGUGCUAGCAUAAGAACUGGGCAGGUCUGUGUCUGAGCUUGUGCUGGGCAGGGCCAGAAUGGUGCUGGGACUUGGUAGGUUGGUGCUGGGGCCUGGCAUGGCUGGAAUGGUGCUGGGACCUGGCAGGUUGGUGCUGGGGCCUGGCAGGGCUGAAAUGGUGCUGGGGCCUGGCAGGGCUGGAAUGUUGCUGGGGCCUGGCAGGGCUGGGCUAGGGCCUAGCAGGUUGGUGCUGGGGCCUGGCAGGGCUGGAAUGCUGCUGGGGCCUGGCAGGUUGGUGCUGGGGCCUGGCAGGGCUGGAAUGUUGCUGGGGCCUGGCAGGGCAGGGUUGGUGCUGGGGCCUGGCAGGGCUGGAAUGCUGCUGGGGCCUGGCAGGUUGGUGCUGGGGCCUGGCAGGGCUGG